UACGGGGGGGGUAAGCGUUGUUCGGAAUUACUGGGCGUAAAGGGCUCGUAGGCGGCCAACUAAGUCAGACGUGAAAUCCCUCAGCUUAACUGGGGAACUGCGUCUGAUACUGGAUGGCUUGGAUUCGGGAGAGGAAUGCGGAAUUCCAGGUGUAGCGGUGAAAUGCGUAGAUAUCUGGAGGAACACCGGUGGCGAAGGCGGCAUCCUGGACCGAAACUGACACUGAGGCGCGAAAGCCAGGGGAGCAAACGGG
rnacentral:rRNA from 1 species